AUGGACUCCAGGCUCCUCUGCUGGGUGGUGCUCUGUCUCCUGGGAGCAGGCCCAGUAGAGGCUGGAGUCACCCAAAGCCCAAGACACCUGAUCAAAACAAGAGGACAGGAAGUGACACUGCGAUGUUCUCCUGUCUCUGGGCACCUCAGUGUGUUCUGGUACCAACAGGCCCUGGGUCAGGGUCCCCAGUUCCUCUUCCAACAUUACAGCGAGGAACAGAGAGCAAAAGGAAACUUCCCUGACAGAUUCUCAGCUCACCAGUUCCCUGACUAUCGCUCUGAGCUGAACGUGAGCUCCUUGGAGCUGGGGGACUCAGCUCUGUAUCUCUGUGCCAGCAGCUUGUCUUCUCCUGGCACUCUAUCCUACAGAGGGAGAGGAAGCAUUUUCAAUAUAAUAGGUGGUACCUUCCUCUUUAUGGAGGGAGGCCCAUUUUAG